GGUGUGUCCGGUCUGAUAAACACUCCACAGAGGGGCUGUGGGCUGUGAGAAGAGCCCUGGACCCUGUGUCAGGACCCAGGGUCUGGGUUCUUGUUCUGCCACCAACCUGUGUGACUUGGGAAGUAGGGGAGGCUACACGGAGGCAGCAAAAGAAGGGUUCUCCUUUGAGCCUCAGGAAGAGAGGAGUUCUGUUGGCGGGCGCUGUUGCCAUCACCAUUGUACCCAUUUUACAGAUGAAGAAACUGAGACACACAGAGAAGUGGGGGAACGUGGCCAAGAUUUCACAGACAGGUCUUGGCGUUGGCCGGGAGACGUCCAGAGCUGGACUGACAGCACCAACCAUCACCUUGUGCCCAUGGCCUGUGUCACCAAGUGCCAUGAUUCUGCUUCUGGAGGAAUUCAACAUUAACAACACCAACCAAAGACAGCAAACCCAGCCAAUGACUGAGAUCUGUUCUAGUUCUGUUUUGUACACAUUUCUAGAGCACAACCUAUGUGACAGGAUCUACUGGGUUCCGUCCUUAUCCCUAGAAGGGAAAUCACACAGGUAACUGUACUAGACAAAUAUACAAAGCAAUAUAAAGAAGAGGAGGUGGGGAGGCGGUGGUUAUCAGGGAGUUUUACAAUGGAGGUGACAUCUGAGGUUUUGAAGGAUGAAUAGGAGCUCUCCAGGUAGACAAGCAGACUAUGGGGACAGCAUAGUUAAAAAUCCAGAGAUGUGAAAAUGCACAAGAUAUCGAGGAUACCACUAGUUGUUGAGUAUCUCCCAUGUUGCUAGAGAACAAAGUAUAUUUUUGUAUCAAGUAAAGUGUUUGUAGGGAGAAUGAGGAGAGAAUUAGAAUAGCAAGAGAUGUGAUUGAAUAGACAGGCAGAAUCUUGUCCAUACUGCUGAAGGUGUUUAGAUACUAUCCUGAAAAGAUCAGGGUGUUUUAAGAAAUUGUGCAUUAUCUUUUUCUGAUUGUAUAAUAUCAAAUGCUCAUUGUAGACAAGUUGGCCGAUAAAGAGAAGUAUAAAGAAGAAAAUAAAAUUACCUUAAAUCCAG